GGGAAGGGCCCUAGCUCAGUGGCAGAGCAUCUGCUUUGAGCGCAGAAGGUCCCAGGUUCAGUCCCUGGCAUCUCCCCA